rnacentral:rRNA from 1 species
AUGCAUACGAGCAAGAAUAUCCUACGAGUAGCAAAUUCUAAGUAUUCUCCACAUCAGAUUCACACGGACAAGUGCCAGAAUACAUCAAAUUCAGAUCCACUUAAAAUGCAUCAAGAAAGCAACACACACGUUGCUAGCAUGGGCAUCCUAGAACCACCAAGAAGUUGCAGCGAUGCAACAAAACCAAAUGUGUACAGGGCCCCUGUCACAGCCAGCAAGCAUACUAGAGGCAGCAACAUUGCGACGAGGACGGGCAUGCCAACGCGCUGUUGGCGGGGUCCAAAAGCAGAGGCCGACUUGGGCAGGAGCAGCUACGCGGCUGGGCCGAGAGUCAUUGUCGAACCUGCUGCUGGGGCGGCACACACCGGUAGAUGGAUCUAG